AGUCAACCAAGACCGUGCUCACAUCAACCAACCUGAUGGAUGAGAAUUCCUUUAAUGAGCCAAAGAAGGUAUCUGAGUCAACUUGUAUCCUUUAACAUUUUCAUAUUGUUGAAGACAUGCCCCUACAUUGCUUUUGUAUAUACUUGGAGAUGCUGUGUGCCUAAACUAAUUUAUCUUGACUUAUUCAAUCAUGAACUGUUGAAAUAUAAAAGAAUAGUGAACCUAUGUCACAUAUUUUAAAUUUUUAGGAAAAUGGUUACAUAAAAGCAUCUAAGCACUUGUCAACUUACGUAAAAUUAAUGUAUUAACCUCUCUGGUUGUGGAAAGAGGCUCAAAAGUGAGGAUGAGUAUGAGGAUAUGAAGAAAAAAUAUAUAUAGUAAAUUAUAAAUUGACAACUGUAUGUUUUAUACAAAAACAAUUAGAGAGCCCCAAUUGGAGAAAGAAAACCCGCAAGCUAGCCACUUGUCAUCUUCUAAAUGGUUCGUAGUGUGCAAAAUUGCUUUACCAUUUUUCUAUUUAAAGUAAUAAUGGACUUAUAUGUGAAAAGUCCUAAAAAAUAAAUUUAAAAAAAAAAAAGUAGUUUGCCCAUAUCCUCCUAAAAGCUUAAAUUUGUGGGAACAAUGAUGAACCAAUAUUGAUAGUCUUGAACAUAACAAUGCUUUGGACCAUGUUUUCUAUCCAUAUCUUUUUACUUUUGUUUUAAAUUAAAUGCAGGUGAUACCGAACCGGAUUCUACUUGAGAAGGCUGGUGAGGAUGGUGAGGAUAUGGAGGUUGCAAUCUCUCCGCAUUCUUUCACCUCAAUUGAUUUCUUAAUAGAAUCAAGCUUUAUCAGGACAACUGGAGCUGAUUCUGUCUCUGUAUCUUCUAUUUAAAAGUUAGAAAUAGAAGAAGUAUCAUAUGCAAUCGAAUAAAAUAAUCCCAUGUAAGUAAAUUAAAUAAUUCCAUGUAAUUAGAUGAAAUAAUUCCAUGUAAUUAGAUGAAAUAAUCCAAUGUAAUCAAAUGAAAUAAUCCCACUGAAAUAGUUUGUAUAGUUGCUAGCCAGUUGUGCUACUUAGCCAAAAUAGUGCCCGCAAAAGAUUUAAGAACAAAAAAGCAAUAAAUUUCACUUUUUU
rnacentral:lncRNA from 1 species